ACAUCAGUCGCCACGGGAAUACGAAGGGUGCAAGCGUUACUCGGAAUUACUGGGCGUAAAGCGUGCGUAGGUGGUGGUUUAAGUCCGUUGUGAAAGCCCUGGGCUCAACCUGGGAAUUGCAGUGGAUACUGGGUCACUAGAGUGUGGUAGAGGAUAGUGGAAUUUCCGGUGUAGCAGUGAAAUGCGUAGAGAUCGGAAGGAACAUCUGUGGCGAAGGCGACUAUCUGGGCCAACACUGACACUGAGGCACGAAAGCGUGGGGAGCAAACAGGAUUAGAGACCCCUGUAGUCCCUGUCUCUUAUAC
rnacentral:rRNA from 1 species